rnacentral:rRNA from 1 species
CCUACGGGAUGCAGCAGUAGGGAAUCUUCCGCAAUGGGCGAAAGCCUGACGGAGCAACGCCGCGUGAGUGAUGAAGGUCUUCGGAUCGUAAAACUCUGUUAUCAGGGAAGAACAAAUGUGUAAGUAACUGUGCACAUCUUGACGGUACCUGAUCAGAAAGCCACGGCUAACUACGUGCCAGCAGCCGCGGUAAUACGUAGGUGGCAAGCGUUAUCCGGAAUUAUUGGGCGUAAAGCGCGCGUAGGCGGUUUUUUAAGUCUGAUGUGAAAGCCCACGGCUCAACCGUGGAGGGUCAUUGGAAACUGGAAAACUUGAGUGCAGAAGAGGAAAGUGGAAUUCCAUGUGUAGCGGUGAAAUGCGCAGAGAUAUGGAGGAACACCAGUGGCGAAGGCGACUUUCUGGUCUGUAACUGACGCUGAUGUGCGAAAGCGUGGGGAUCAAACAGGAUUAGAUACCCUAGUAGUC